AAUCAACGCUGGCGGCGUGCCUAACACAUGCAAGUCGAACGCGAAAGUGGAGCAAUCCAUGAGUAGAGUGGCAAACGGGUGAGUAACGCGUGGGUGACCUGCCUUCGAGUGGGGGAUAACGCUCCGAAAGGGACGCUAAUACCGCAUCACAUCCUGCCCUUUAAGAGGUGGAGAUCCAAGCCUGGGACCGCAAGGCCAGGCGCUCGACGAGGGGCCCGCGCUGAUUAGCUAGUUGGUGGGGUAAUGGCUCACCAAGGCAACGAUCAGUAUCCGGCCUGAGAGGGCGGACGGACGCACUGGGACUGAGACACGGCCCCAGACUCCUACGGGAGGCAGCAGUGGGGAAUUGUUCGCAAUGGGCGCAAGCCUGACGACGCAACGCCGCGUGGAGGAUGAA
rnacentral:rRNA from 1 species